GAACGAACGCUGGCGGCGCGUCUUAAGCAUGCAAGUCGAACGGCAAGAGGUAGCAAUACCUCCUAGAGUGGCGGACUGGUGAGUAACACGUGGGUGACAUACCCUUCAGAUGGGAUAGCUAUUAGAAAUAGUAGAUAAUACCGAAUACGAGCACAGGGGUUAGAGAUCUGUGAGGAAAGGAGCUAAGGCUCCGCUGAAGGAAUGGCCUGCGGCCCAUUAGCUAGUUGGUGAGGUAAGAGCCCACCAAGGCGAUGAUGGGUAUCCGGCCUUAGAGGGUGAACGGACACAUUGGGACUGAGAUACGGCCCAGACUCCUACGGGAGGCAGCAGCUAAGAAUAUUCCGCAAUGGACGAAAGUCUGACGGAGCGACGCCGCGUGGAUGAAGAAGGCCGGAAGGUUGUAAAAUCCUUUUGAAACUGAAGAAUAAGCGUUGUAGGGAAUGACAGCGUGGUGACAGUAGGUUUUGAAUAAGCAACGGCUAAUUACGUGCCAGCCGCAGC
rnacentral:rRNA from 1 species